CACAGACCAGCCGGCCAGACAGGCCUCAGACAAGUCAGGAUGAGGCUGGGAUUGCAGGUUCUGCUUCUGGAAGCCGACCUCCUGUAAGGCGCCCAUCACAGGGCUUGGGCCACUUACCCAGGAGGCCAAGUUCGACACGGCGUCUUGCCUCGGAAUCUGCGGCUCCAUCAUCCCCACCCAGGCGACGACUUUCGGCAGUGUCACCCCAGCCACCACUGGCACUAUUGGCGAGUUCUCAGAGUGAUGAGCCCCGAUCACCUCAGUUAUCUGAGCACAGCUUGAUGGCCGACGUGGACCAGCAGGGCCAAGACCAACAGCCAACCAUCACACUGCAACUUACACCUGUUGACCCAAGCCAGCCAAUACAGUUGCAGGAUAUCCCCCAAGCAUCCAUCAGUCCACAACUGGCACAAGCUCCGCCCCCAAGCCAAAUACCAGAUGAUUUUUGGGCCAGUUGGACAAGCCAACAGGCCCAAAGCAAUGCCAGCCUGACCGCACAUACACAACACCUUGCCAGUCUGCCCCAUCAUCUACCGCGUAUUAGUCGCAACUCGGGCAGACUGAUAGUACAAGUAGGGCGAAUGGCUACCUCAAUGGAGCAAAUUAGGGCUGACAACAGCCAAAUGCUUGCACAUUUAUCC